CACGAAGCUCAUUGAGCUAGCUAUUAUAUGAGAUUGGUUAGAAGUAUGUUGCAUAAUAUUUGAUUAAUAAUAGCUAGGGGUGAAAGGCUACUCAAAUUGAGUGAUAACUUGUUUCUUUUUAAAUAUAUUAAGUAUGAGGACAGGCUUGAAGUUAUAAGAUUUUGAGUUAGAACGAAAGGAUAUUAUGAGGCUUAUAUAAAGUUUAACAACGAAUAUGAUAGAAGCUGAAUAUUAAUUUAUAAAAAAAUGUUAUUACUAAAGAGAAAUAGGAUAAUUUGAAGUACUAUUUAUUCUGUUAAUAUGAGUAUCGUUAAAGGUAAGAGUAAUGAACUCGGCAAAUUGUACUUUCAACUGUUUAUCAAAAACAUAGCCUGCUGUUAGUAUGGUCGGUAAUUUCUGCUCAGUGAUUAUUUAAACAGCCGCAGUACUCUGACUGUGCAAAGGUAGCGCAAUCAAUUGACUUUUAAUUGAAGUCCUGUAUGAAGAAUAUAUGGGGGUUAACUGUAUCAUUUUUAUUAAUAAAAAUUACUUAGUAGGUGCAAAGACCUAUAGGAAAAUAAUAGACGAGAAGACCCUUGAAAUUUUAAGAAUUGUGUUAGAGAGGCUUUUUGUUGGGGCAACAAAGUAGUGUAAUGUAAACCUACAAGAUAUACAUGAAAUUGUUUAGAACGAUGAAAUUACUCUAGGGAUAACAGCAUAAUUUAUAAAAGUUUGUGACCUCGAUGUUGGACUAGGAAGUUGGUGUUAGAA
rnacentral:rRNA from 1 species